AUUGAACGCUGGCGGCAUGCCUUACACAUGCAAGUCGAACGGUAACAGGUCUUCGGAUGCUGACGAGUGGCGAACGGGUGAGUAAUACAUCGGAACGUGCCCGAUCGUGGGGGAUAACGCAGCGAAAGCUGUGCUAAUACCGCAUACGAUCUACGGAUGAAAGCGGGGGAUCGCAAGACCUCGCGCGGACGGAGCGGCCGAUGGCAGAUUAGGUAGUUGGUGGGAUAAAAAGCUUACCAAGCCGACGAUCUGUAGCUGGUCUGAGAGGACGACCAGCCACACUGGGACUGAGACACGGCCCAGACUCCUACGGGAGGCAGCAGUGGGGAAUUUUGGACAAUGGGCGCAAGCCUGAUCCAGCCAUGCCGCGUGCAGGAUGAAGGCCUUCGGGUUGUAAACUGCUUUGUUACGGUAACGAAAAGGACUCUCUCUAAUACAGGGGU
rnacentral:rRNA from 1 species